UUCUCUCUUCUUUCUCUCUCUACUCUCUCUACUCUUUGUAAACUUCUCUCCGCUCUCUACUCUCUCUCUAGAGUCUUCCCCCUUGAGCCACCCUUCCCCGCAGUGAACCACCAUUAAAAGCCCCACAUUCCCCAUAUUUUGGUUGAUCUUCAACCAAAAUCUUCAAAUGUUCAUCAAUAUUUUUCCAGAACCCCUUCUACCUUUCAACUUGGGUUUCCCAGAUGAACCCUAGGGUUCAUACGAUGAACCCUAAACAAAUUUUUCAACCCGGACCCCCCCCCCCCCACAACCGAAGAACCCUAACUGGGUUCGAAUGAACCCUAAUAUUUUCCAGAUGAACCCUAACCCUACCUUAACCCUAAAAAUUUCCAAAAAACUAAAUUCUUCCCAAAUCGAGCCUUAAUCCUUGGCCGAUUCAAAGAUCGGCCUUUCCCAAACCCGCAAUACCUCGGACUUAACUCUGAAAUCUCUAACCUUAAUCCCUUUCAAUUAACCCCACAAUCAAUAACCACAAUAAUCCAAAACAACGAUUGGCAAUGAAAAAUAGCAUUUAAUUUCAAUGGGGGUUUAGAAACUAACCGACAAGAAGGAGAAAUUCCUUGGUAAAGGUAAAGUAAUUCUUCCGAUCUCCUUUGAUUCUAUUUCUCUUUUCCGUCUCCUUUCUAACUUCUUCUUCUCCUUUCUCUGAUGUGAGGUCCUUCUGGAUGGUUACGGAGGCUGAGCUUAGAGAACUUAGGGUUUCAAUGUGAAACCCUAAUUCUAUUUUGAUUCAAGCUUUAGUGGGUGGAUCCAGAUUGCAGCAAUUGAGAAUUUUAGAGGGUUUUGUUCCGUCCUUAAUUCAUUGAUUUAUUUUGUAUUUAUAGAUCAAAUUAGGUCUCAGUGUUUUAAUUAAAUUGGUUGCUUUAGGAAGUUCUUGAAUCUGAUUUGUUGUAAUUUGAUUUGAUUGGGUUUAGAAAUAGAUUAGGGUUUUGAAAUUUGAUUGUAUCUGGUCCGAAUUUCCCUAAAAAUCAUAUUGUAUGAUGUAUCUCUAAUAAAUUUUGGAAAGUUUUGAUUGAAUUUUGAAA
rnacentral:lncRNA from 1 species